GAGACAGCAGUCGCCGCGGUAAUACAGAGGGUGCGAGCGUUAAUCGGAUUUACUGGGCGUAAAGCGUGCGUAGGCGGCUUUUUAAGUCGGAUGUGAAAUCCCUGAGCUUAACUUAGGAAUUGCAUUCGAUACUGGGAAGCUAGAGUAUGGGAGAGGAUGGUAGAAUUCCAGGUGUAGCGGUGAAAUGCGUAGAGAUCUGGAGGAAUACCGAUGGCGAAGGCAGCCAUCUGGCCUAAUACUGACGCUGAGGUACGAAAGCAUGGGGAGCAAACAGGAUUAGAUACCCGAGUAGUCCCUGUCUCUUAUAC
rnacentral:rRNA from 1 species